GCCAAUACAUGCAAGUCGAGCGGACAGAAGGGGAGCUUGCUCCCGGAUGUUAGCGGCGGCACGGCCUGAGUAACACGUGGGUAACCUGCCUGUAAGACUGGGAUAACUCCGGGAAACCGGAGCUAAUACCGGAUAGUUCCUUGAACCGCAUGGUUCAAGGAUGAAAGACGGUUUCGGCUGUCACUUACAGAUGGACCCGCGGCGCAUUAGCUAGUUGGUGGGGUAAUGGCUCACCAAGGCGACGAUGCGUAGCCGACCUGAGAGGGUGAUCGGCCACACUGGGACUGAGACACGGCCCAGACUCCUACGGGAGGCAGCAGUAGGGAAUCUUCCGCAAUGGACGAAAGUCUGACGGAGCAACGCCGCGUGAGUGAUGAAGGUUUUCGGAUCGUAAAGCUCUGUUGUUAGGGAAGAACAAGUGCGAGAGUAACUGCUCGCACCUUGACGGUACCUAACCAGAAAGCCACGGCUAACUACGUGCCAGCAGCCGCGGUAAUACGUAGGUGGCAAGCGUUGUCCGGAAUUAUUGGGCGUAAAGGGCUCGCAGGCGGUUUCUUAAGUCUGAUGUGAAAGCCCCCGGCUCAACCGGGGAGGGUCAUUGGAAACUGGGAAACUUGAGUGCAGAAGAGGAGAGUGGAAUUCCACGUGUAGCGGUGAAAUGCGUAGAGAUGUGGAGGAACACCAGUGGCGAAGGCGACUCUCUGGUCUGUAACUGACGCUGAGGAGCG
rnacentral:rRNA from 1 species